GCGGCAUGGCUUUACACAUGCAAGUCGAGCGGCAACGGGAAAGUUGCUUGCUACUUUUGCCGGCAAGCGGCGAACGGGGGAUUAAUGCCUGGCGAUUUGCGCGGGCUAGGGGGAUAACUGUUGGAAUCAUACGCUAAUACCGCUUACGCCCUACGGGGGAAAGCUUGGGACCUUCCGGCCUUGCACGAUUGGAUGUCCCCUUGUGGGAUUAGCUAGGUGGUGAGGUAACGGCUCAACAAUGCGACGAUCCCUAGAUGGGCUGAGAGGAUGAUCAGCCACUCUGAAACUGACACAACUCCCACACUCCUACGGGAGGCAGAAUUGGGGAAUAUUGCACAAUGCCUGAAACCCUGAUGCCGCCAUGCCGCGUGUGUGAAGAAGGCCUUCGGGUUGUUUAGCACUUUCNGAAAGGAGGAAAGGUAAUUACCUAAUACCUGGA
rnacentral:rRNA from 1 species